AGCAGCCGCGGUAAUACGGAGGGGGCUAGCGUUAUCCGGAGUUACUGGGCGUAAAGGGUGCGUAGGCGGUCUUUCAAGUCAGGAGUGAAAGGCUACGGCUCAACCGUAGUAAGCUCUUGAAACUGGGGGACUUGAGUGCAGGAGAGGAGAGUGGAAUUCCUAGUGUAGCGGUGAAAUGCGUAGAUAUUAGGAGGAACACCAGUUGCGAAGGCGGCUC
rnacentral:rRNA from 1 species